GUUGGGGGGGGGGGAAGGGAGAGAUGGAGCUCAGUUGGUGCCAACCUAACCCUGAUCCAGCAGGGCACCCACAGCAGCUUGCCUAGGGGGGGCUAGAAAGGACCUCUGGAGCUAACCCAGUGCCAACUUCACUCUGUCCCAGCAGGGCACCCACAGCAGCUUGCCCAGGGGGGGCUAGAAGGGAGCUCUGGAGCUAACCCAGUGCCAACCUCACCCUGCUCCAGCAGGGCACCCACAGCAGCUUGCCUAGGGGGGGCUAGAAAGGACCUCUGGAGCUAACCCAGUGCCAACCUCACCCUGCUCCAGCAGGGCACCCACAGCAGCUUGCCCAGGGGCACAGUGCCCAGGGAGGGCUGGAAGGGACCUCUGGAGCUAACCCAGUGCCAACCUCACCCUGCCCUAGCAGGGCACCCACAGCAGCUUGCAUAGGGAGGGCUGGAAGGGAGCUCUGGAGCUCAGCCAGUGCCAACCUCACCCUUCUCCAGCAGGGCACCCACAGCAGCUUGCCCAGGGGGGGCUGGAAGGGAGCUCUGGAGCUAACCCAGUGCCAACCUCACCCUGACCCAGCAGGGCACCCACAGCAGCUUGCCUAGGGGGGCUGGAAGGGACCUCUGGAGCUCAGCCAGUGCCAACCUCACCCUUCUCCAGCAGGGCACCCACAGCAGCUUGCCCAGGGGGGGCCAGAAAGGACCUCUGGAGCUAACCCAGUGCCAACUUCACUCUGUCCCAGCAGAGCACCCACAGCAGCUUGCCCGGGGGCACAGUGCCCAGGGAGGGACUGGAAGGGACCUGUGGAGCUCAGCCAGUGCCAACCUCACCCUGCCCCAGCAGGGCACCCACAGCAGCUUGCCCUCCCCCCCCUCCCCCCCCCCCACGCACACCCCAUGAGCAGCCUCUGGCCCUUUUCUGCCCUCAGCUCUCUCUUUUCAGACCCCAGCUGGAAGCAGCAGCUGGGGGGGGGGGGACCUGCGAGUCUCGGGGACCCCCCCAGGUCGUGUAUGUAUUGGGGGACACCCACCAGGCCAUGUGCAUCUUGGGGACCCCCCCCAGCUCGUGUAUGUAUUGGGGACCCCCCCCAGCCCCUGCGCGGUGCCUGGGAGGGACCCAGCAGGACCCUGCCGAAUAAACUCUGCCCUGGGCUGGUC